rnacentral:rRNA from 1 species
UACGGAGGGGGCUAGCGUUGUUCGGAAUUACUGGGCGUAAAGCGCACGUAGGCGGCUUUGUAAGUUAGAGGUGAAAGCCCAGGGCUUAACCCUGGAAUUGCCUUUAAGACUGCAUCGCUAGAAUCGUGGAGAGGUGAGUGGAAUUCCGAGUGUAGAGGUGAAAUUCGUAGAGAUCCGGAGGAACACCGAAGGCGAAGGCAGUCUCCUGGCAAGUUACUGACGCUCAGGUGCGAAAGCUAGGGGAGCGAACAGG